CCACAUAAUUCAAUAUGAAUUAUCAAAAGACAAUAUUCAAAAUAUAUUAUAUCAUUUUCUCCUUAAUUUUUCCCGUUGGGUUUUUAAAGGAGUUUUCAUAACAUAUCAAUAUUAUUAUUAUUUCCUCAAUAUUUUUCCCACAGGGUUUUUGGAGGAAAUUACAACAUUACAAGAUUCCAUGAUGAUUCUAAAAUAUACAAGUCAAAGAAGCAAAUUGAUCGAGGGGGAGUGUUGAGAAUAAUAUAUGAUCAAUUAGUUUAAUUAUUAGUUAAUUAAAUAGACGGUUAAUUGAAACCGCUCGUGUCCCAAGUUUUGGAAAAAUUGGGACGCUAAGACAAAAGUUUAGGACACCAAUGCAUAUAUUGGUGCCCUUUCAACCUAUAUAUAUAUAUCAUCAUCAAUCAAGGAACAGAACACAGAGAUUCAUUCUCAUUUUCAUUCAUAAAAAUUUUAACAUGUUUUUCUAUUUGUCCCACACUCCACAACACUGAUUCCCACCUUCGAUCUGCAUAUGAACAAUUUUUUGAUUGAACAGAAAAGGUUACAAGCAGUAGCAAUGCUUACAGUUUUAUAAUUAAUAUAAAUGAAUAAAGAAAAGGAAGAUAAAAGCAAAACUAAAGAAAAAACGAAAAAAAAAACUUGGAG
rnacentral:lncRNA from 1 species